rnacentral:rRNA from 1 species
UACGGAGGGUGCAAGCGUUAUCCGGAUUCACUGGGUUUAAAGGGUGCGUAAGUGGGCAGGUAAGUCAGUGGUGAAAUCUCCGAGCUUAACUCGGAAACUGCCGUUGAUACUAUUUGUCUUGAAUAUUGUGGAGGUAAGCGGAAUAUGUCAUGUAGCGGUGAAAUGCUUAGAUAUGACAUAGAACACCAAUUGCGAAGGCAGCUUACUACACAACGAUUGACGCUGAGGCACGAAAGCGUGGGGAUCAAACAGG